rnacentral:rRNA from 1 species
UGGUGGAGUGAUUUGUCUGGUUAAUUCCGAUAACGAACGAGACCUUAACCUGCUAAAUAGGGCUGCGAACCUGCGUUCGUGGGCCCUUCUUAGAGGGACUGACUACGUUUAGUGGUCGGAAGUUUGAGGCAAUAACA